AAGGGUAUAGCUCAGUGGUAGAGCACAUGCUUAGCAUACAUGAGGUCCUGGGUUCAAUUUCCUGUACCUCCA
rnacentral:tRNA from 1 species